AGAGGAGGAAAACCUGAGAGUUGCUGUUAGAGCAGGUGUCCACAAGACGGCGCCAGAGCACCUUCUGGACCCAGGUGCAGCGGCAAGGCUGCAGGUGCAGGCUGAGUGGUGGGAUGGAGAGUGUGUGGAUAGGAAGCCACAGCAAGCGCCCAGAGGCCUUUGCGUUGGUUCCUGGGCACCGGGGACUGUCUGGUCCAAGACGCCUCCUGUCAGGCAGAGGACACAGGCGUCCCUGUAGCAUUGGGAGGUGGAUCGGCAGCCUGGUGGCUUGGGAGUGUGCUUCGAAGGCUGCUGGAAGGAGUCACUGGGUGUCGGAACGCCUUGUGUUCCUCCAGACGCAGGAGCGGAGACCCGCCCAGCAUCUGUGUGGUCUCGGGAGCUGGCCAUUUGCAAGGCCCUGACCGUCGGUGGUGGAUGUGGGUGGAGAAUCAGGCGUGCUGCUGCUGCUGCUGCUGCUGCUGCUGCUGCUGUGGAAGGAAUGGGGGGCUUUGGUGGCUUUGUGGUGGACCCAGAGCUGGGCGAAUCCCUGUGCUUCUCCCUUCCAAAGGCUCAGGGGAGUUUCCUUCUUGCCUUUUGAGAGGAGCCUCCCGUUUCCGGACGGGGCCAGGGUAUGGAGGCCUGAGCGAACCCAGGUCUGGUGAAUGAAGCAGGGUUGAUUGGAAUCACCCAGCAAGCUCUCAGGGAGUUCCCUCGUGGCUGCCUGGCUUGAGAGUGUCUAUCUGUCAGUGCUGUGGCUGUGGACAUGGCUCCAGCGAGAUCCAAGUCUGGCCAAAGGGCACCCCAUUGUCACAGGGGGCAUCGAGAUCCAUUUAUAAAGACGAAGAGAUGGGGACAGUAUGAGCUUAAUUGAGAAAGAAGAAAAGGGGUACACAUGCUUAUUCUGACAGUGUAGCUAAGGGUAUUGCCAGAUGAGGCCGUCCCAAAGGCUCUCCUGACCCUCUGCCUCAGGUGGCAGAGUGUUUGAAGGGCAAGCCUUGGGAUGGACAGCAUCGCAGUGGAUUCAUUGCCGGGGCAGAGUGUAUCUGCAUGCCACACAUGGGGGCAGGAACAUCAAUUAGGGAUUUAGAAACAUAAAAGGAAAUGCUAGUACAGAAAGAAAUUUAUCCACGCUUGGUCAUCACGUCGGGUCCCAGCUCAUAGUGCCAGUGCCCCUUGUCAGGGUCAACGGAGCCCGCCUGGCUUCUCCUGAGAGGCAGGGCUAUGUACCAUAGCACAUGCUGUGGGGAAUCCCAAGCCAUUAAGGGUGUGGGAUUUUAUCGGUGAUUAUUUUCCAUUCUCACGGAUGUAUGGUGCCCAGUUUCACUUGAGCACAAACGCGAUCCAGUCGUACAUGUAUAUGCAUCUUCUUUUGGUCGCAGUGUCUUCCAUUUUGGUUCCACAGAAGUGGCCAGGUAUAAUCCCUGUGCUAUAGAGCAGGACUUCAUUGCUAACACAUGCCAAGCACAAGAGGUUGACUCUACCACUCCCAAAUCCCAGGCCUUCCCACAGCCUCCCCCUACCAUCUGGCAACCACAGCGAUGUUUUCCAGUCUAUGAGCUGCUUCUACAUAGAAAGGUUCGUUGGUUCCAUUUGCUAGCUUCCACAUAGAAGGGAUAGCCCUUGGUAUGUGUCGUUCGUGUUCCGACUUAGUUCACCUAGUAUGAAACGAGGUGUCACCUAGCUUCUCGUGCCACCUACAUGGCUGCGAAUGGCAUUUUCCUCUUGCUCUGGGGUUUUCGGGGUUCUGCUUUUUUUUUUUUUCUCAAUGUUUGAGGAGCAUUCCAAUGUGUACAUAUCCACUCUCUUCCUAAUCCAAUCAUCUCUCGAUGGACAUUGAGUUGUUUUCCAUGGCUGGCUAUUGGGAAGUGUGCUGCAUGAACAUAGCGGGGGCUUUUACAUUUUUCAAAGACCCAAUUCCGGAAAUAGGACCAAGAGUGGGAGGCCUGGGUGCUGAGGUCGUCCGCUAUUGAUUUUUGUGGAUUCCCUCGAUCGUGUGGUCCAUCGCGGUUGUCCACACGUACAAAAAUACCCACCGUGGAGGAGGGCAUCUUCUUGUCCACACCCUCUCAGGGAUGUGUGCCUUGUAGACUUCCUAAUGGUGGCCCUUCAGAGAGAGGUGGGUUGGUCCUGCAGAGUCCCUUUGACGUGCAUGUCUCUCCUCAUGAGGGAUGCGGGGCACAUGUCUCCCAGUGCUUUUUGCCCUCUGCAUGUCUGUUUCGGGAAAUGUCUCUUGAGGUCUUUUGCCAUUUUCCCCUUGGGUUUGGGGUUUUGUUGGGCUGUUGGCUGGUGUCUGCGGUCGAGCUGUUGAUUGGGAGACCCCAGGCUGACCUGGGCUCUGGUGCCAGGAGGAAAGUGCCUGAGGGUCGUGCAUGGAAGGUGGUCAAACGGUGAUCCUUUGGUGAGCAGCUGUGUUAAUCCCUGGGCAGUUUCUCGCCUGAGGUCUCCUGAAACGCCGUCCUUGUCUUUACCUUGGAGCCUCUUCCGUUCCCUCAAUACAGCUGGUCCGGAAAUCGGACCUAAGGCUGGUAGAUUGAUUGCGAAAAAGGGAGGUGUCCCCAAGAGUCCCCCCAAUCCCCUGGGGAACAGAGCUGUCUUUGUCCCUGUGGCGGGCGUGCUCACCUCUGCUGCUGGGAAAACAUCGACGUGCAGACAACUCAGGCCAGCUGCGGUGGGGUCCAUACACUAGGAAGCACGAGGGAAAGAGAGGACAAAAGGAAUGAACGGAAAGAAGCAGUAUUCUGGCAUAGGAAUGAAGGAGUCACAGCUGGAAAGCUAUGAACAAAAUCAGUGGGUACAUACCUACGGACCUGUCUCCAUAACGGCAUCGUGGCAGGGCUAUCUCCCAAAGGGAGAAGGCUGUCCUGAUAGGAUGGGUUGGGAGCUGAAGGUUUGCAUGGAGUGGCAAGGUGGAGGUGGGCCUCCAGGCUCCGAAAGCCUUUGAGAGAGCAAUGGCCCUCCUGGAUUGGCCCUUCUUGCUAGAUCAGGCCGGCGGCGGGGGCGGCGGCGGCGGCGGCAGCUGCGGGGGAAGGCCAUUCCAGGAGCAUAUUGCCCCCAGCCAGUGCCGCCCUGGGGGGCGGCUGAGGCAGAGAGAGGAGGAAAACCUGAGAGUUGCUGUUAGAGCAGGUGUCCACAAGACGGCGCCAGAGCACCUUCUGGACCCAGGUGCAGCGGCAAGGCUGCAGGUGCAGGCUGAGUGGUGGGAUGGAGAGUGUGUGGAUAGGAAGCCACAGCAAGCGCCCAGAGGCCUUUGCGUUGGUUCCUGGGCACCGGGGACUGUCUGGUCCAAGACGCCUCCUGUCAGGCAGAGGACACAGGCGUCCCUGUAGCAUUGGGAGGUGGAUCGGCAGCCUGGUGGCUUGGGAGUGUGCUUCGAAGGCUGCUGGAAGGAGUCACUGGGUGUCGGAACGCCUUGUGUUCCUCCAGACGCAGGAGCGGAGACCCGCCCAGCAUCUGUGUGGUCUCGGGAGCUGGCCAUUUGCAAGGCCCUGACCGUCGGUGGUGGAUGUGGGUGGAGAAUCAGGCUGCUGCUGCUGCUGCUGCUGCGGAAGGAAUGGGGGGCUUUGGUGGCUUUGUGGUGGACCCAGAGCUGGGCGAAUCCCUGUGCUUCUCCCUUCCAAAGGCUCAGGGGAGUUUCCUUCUUGCCUUUUGAGAGGAGCCUCCCGUUUCCGGACGGGGCCAGGGUAUGGAGGCCUGAGCGAACCCAGGUCUGGUGAAUGAAGCAGGGUUGAUUGGAAUCACCCAGCAAGCUCUCAGGGAGUUCCCUCGUGGCUGCCUGGCUUGAGAGUGUCUAUCUGUCAGUGCUGUGGCUGUGGACAUGGCUCCAGCGAGAUCCAAGUCUGGCCAAAGGGCACCCCAUUGUCACAGGGGGCAUCGAGAUCCAUUUAUAAAGACGAAGAGAUGGGGACAGUAUGAGCUUAAUUGAGAAAGAAGAAAAGGGGUACACAUGCUUAUUCUGACAGUGUAGCUAAGGGUAUUGCCAGAUGAGGCAGUCCCAAAGGCUCUCCUGACCCUCUGCCUCAGGUGGCAGAGUGUUUGAAGGGCAAGCCUUGGGAUGGACAGCAUCGCAGUGGAUUCAUUGCCGGGGCAGAGUGUAUCUGCAUGCCACACAUGGGGGCAGGAACAUCAAUUAGGGAUUUAGAAACAUAAAAGGAAAUGCUAGUACAGAAAGAAAUUUAUCCACGCUUGGUCAUCACGUCGGGUCCCAGCUCAUAGUGCCAGUGCCCCUUGUCAGGGUCAACGGAGCCCGCCUGGCUUCUCCUGAGAGGCAGGGCUAUGUACCAUAGCACAUGCUGUGGGGAAUCCCAAGCCAUUAAGGGUGUGGGAUUUUAUCGGUGAUUAUUUUCCAUUCUCACGGAUGUAUGGUGCCCAGUUUCACUUGAGCACAAACGCGAUCCAGUCGUACAUGUAUAUGCAUCUUCUUUUGGUCGCAGUGUCUUCCAUUUUGGUUCCACAGAAGUGGCCAGGUAUAAUCCCUGUGCUAUAGAGCAGGACUUCAUUGCUAACACAUGCCAAGCACAAGAGGUUGACUCUACCACUCCCAAAUCCCAGGCCUUCCCACAGCCUCCCCCUACCAUCUGGCAACCACAGCGAUGUUUUCCAGUCUAUGAGCUGCUUCUACAUAGAAAGGUUCGUUGGUUCCAUUUGCUAGCUUCCACAUAGAAGGGAUAGCCCUUGGUAUGUGUCGUUCGUGUUCCGACUUAGUUCACCUAGUAUGAAACGAGGUGUCACCUAGCUUCUCGUGCCACCUACAUGGCUGCGAAUGGCAUUUUCCUCUUGCUCUGGGGUUUUCGGGGUUCUGCUUUUUUUUUUUUUUCUCAAUGUUUGAGGAGCAUUCCAAUGUGUACAUAUCCACUCUCUUCCUAAUCCAAUCAUCUCUCGAUGGACAUUGAGUUGUUUUCCAUGGCUGGCUAUUGGGAAGUGUGCUGCAUGAACAUAGCGGGGGCUUUUACAUUUUUCAAAGACCCAAUUCCGGAAAUAGGACCAAGAGUGGGAGGCCUGGGUGCUGAGGUCGUCCGCUAUUGAUUUUUGUGGAUUCCCUCGAUCGUGUGGUCCAUCGCGGUUGUCCACACGUACAAAAAUACCCACCGUGGAGGAGGGCAUCUUCUUGUCCACACCCUCUCAGGGAUGUGUGCCUUGUAGACUUCCUAAUGGUGGCCCUUCAGAGAGAGGUGGGUUGGUCCUUCAGAGUCCCUUUGACGUGCAUGUCUCUCCUCAUGAGGGAUGCGGGGCACAUGUCUCCCAGUGCUUUUUGCCCUCUGCAUGUCUGUUUCGGGAAAUGUCUCUUGAGGUCUUUUGCCAUUUUCCCCUUGGGUUUGGGGUUUUGUUGGGCUGUUGGCUGGUGUCUGCGGUCGAGCUGUUGAUUGGGAGACCCCAGGCUGACCUGGGCUCUGGUGCCAGGAGGAAAGUGCCUGAGGGUCGUGCAUGGAAGGUGGUCAAACGGUGAUCCUUUGGUGAGCAGCUGUGUUAAUCCCUGGGCAGUUUCUCGCCUGAGGUCUCCUGAAACGCCGUCCUUGUCUUUACCUUGGAGCCUCUUCCGUUCCCUCAAUACAGCUGGUCCGGAAAUCGGACCUAAGGCUGGUAGAUUGAUUGCGAAAAAGGGAGGUGUCCCCAAGAGUCCCCCCAAUCCCCUGGGGAACAGAGCUGUCUUUGUCCCUGUGGCGGGCGUGCUCACCUCUGCUGCUGGGAAAACAUCGACGUGCAGACAACUCAGGCCAGCUGCGGUGGGGUCCAUACACUAGGAAGCACGAGGGAAAGAGAGGACAAAAGGAAUGAACGGAAAGAAGCAGUAUUCUGGCAUAGGAAUGAAGGAGUCACAGCUGGAAAGCUAUGAACAAAAUCAGUGGGUACAUACCUACGGACCUGUCUCCAUAACGGCAUCGUGGCAGGGCUAUCUCCCAAAGGGAGAAGGCUGUCCUGAUAGGAUGGGUUGGGAGCUGAAGGUUUGCAUGGAGUGGCAAGGUGGAGGUGGGCCUCCAGGCUCCGAAAGCCUUUGAGAGAGCAAUGGCCCUCCUGGAUUGGCCCUUCUUGCUAGAUCAGGCCGGCGGCGGGGGCGGCGGCGGCGGCGGCAGCUGCGGGGGAAGGCCAUUCCAGGAGCAUAUUGCCCCCAGCCAGUGCCGCCCUGGGGGGCGGCUGAGGCAGAGAGAGGAGGAAAACCUGAGAGUUGCUGUUAGAGCAGGUGUCCACAAGACGGCGCCAGAGCACCUUCUGGACCCAGGUGCAGCGGCAAGGCUGCAGGUGCAGGCUGAGUGGUGGGAUGGAGAGUGUGUGGAUAGGAAGCCACAGCAAGCGCCCAGAGGCCUUUGCGUUGGUUCCUGGGCACCGGGGACUGUCUGGUCCAAGACGCCUCCUGUCAGGCAGAGGACACAGGCGUCCCUGUAGCAUUGGGAGGUGGAUCGGCAGCCUGGUGGCUUGGGAGUGUGCUUCGAAGGCUGCUGGAAGGAGUCACUGGGUGUCGGAACGCCUUGUGUUCCUCCAGACGCAGGAGCGGAGACCCGCCCAGCAUCUGUGUGGUCUCGGGAGCUGGCCAUUUGCAAGGCCCUGACCGUCGGUGGUGGAUGUGGGUGGAGAAUCAGGCGGCUGCUGCUGCUGCUGCUGCUGCUGCUGCUGCUGUGGAAGGAAUGGGGGGCUUUGGUGGCUUUGUGGUGGACCCAGAGCUGGGCGAAUCCCUGUGCUUCUCCCUUCCAAAGGCUCAGGGGAGUUUCCUUCUUGCCUUUUGAGAGGAGCCUCCCGUUUCCGGACGGGGCCAGGGUAUGGAGGCCUGAGCGAACCCAGGUCUGGUGAAUGAAGCAGGGUUGAUUGGAAUCACCCAGCAAGCUCUCAGGGAGUUCCCUCGUGGCUGCCUGGCUUGAGAGUGUCUAUCUGUCAGUGCUGUGGCUGUGGACAUGGCUCCAGCGAGAUCCAAGUCUGGCCAAAGGGCACCCCAUUGUCACAGGGGGCAUCGAGAUCCAUUUAUAAAGACGAAGAGAUGGGGACAGUAUGAGCUUAAU
rnacentral:lncRNA from 1 species